rnacentral:rRNA from 1 species
ACUUUGAUUAUGGCUCGGGACGAACGCUGGCGGCGCGCCUAACACAUGCAAGUCGAGCGGGAAGCUUUUUAAGGAUUCUUCGGAUGAAUUAAAAAGUGGAGAGCGGCGGACGGGUGAGUAACGCGUGAGAAACCUGCCCUAUACAGGGGGAUAGCCAUUGGAAACGAUGAUUAAUACCCCAUAUGACCACAGUAUCGCAUGAUACAGCGGUGAAAACUCCGGUGGUAUAGGAUGGUCUCGCGUCUGAUUAGCUAGUUGGUGGGGUAACGGCCUACCAAGGCGACGAUCAGUAGCCGGCCUGAGAGGGUGACCGGCCACACUGGAACUGAGACACGGUCCAGACUCCUACGGGAGGCAGCAGUGGGGAAUAUUGCACAAUGGGCGAAAGCCUGAUGCAGCGACGCCGCGUGAACGAUGAAGGCUUUCGAGUCGUAAAGUUCUGUUCUUGGGGAAGAUAACGACGGUACCCAAGGAGAAAGCACCGGCUAAAUACGUGCCAGCAGCCGCGGUA